UUUCUUGAUAGAAAAAUGAGAUGCUUACAAUCUUGAAAGCAUGCAUUACAUGUUUGAAUUUUACUGAAUAUGAAGCACGCCAUCACAGGCUUCUCGUUGAUCUUCUUCGUAAGAACGAUUUCAAUUAAUUAUAAUGUAAGUUCUCAAUCUACAUGUAUCUUUGACUGUUUGAUGAAAAGUGUAUUUUUGUGACUGUGUUGUAAGUCAAAAUUAGGAUAACACGUCGAGGCAAAAUUAACCAAGCACCAUGACGGAGACCUUAACGGAGGAAAAAGUAUUCGAACUAGCAGAGGCUGUGGCGGUCGAUAAAAAUUUAUUAAUUCUCGGGUUGAAACUGGGAUUUAAGGAGCCAAAGGUUAAGAUGUACAUCAGUACGAAUAAACGAAAUGAAAGUUCAGAAGGAACCAGCUCCAUGCUGUUCGACUGGAAGAGAAAGACACCGAGAGCGCAGCAAAUACCCGAUCUCAUCAAGGCACUGAAUGAAUCUGGAUUUGCGGAAUUAGUUGAUGAUUUCUUCCCAUCUGGACUUGCUGGAGGUGGUAAGUCGCAACCCAUGCAGUAAGUGCAGUAAACCCUUCUACUGCAGCUUCGAACACUGACAAUGCACAUGUAUCUACUGAGAGACUAGUGACUGAUGGUGAGAUCACCAGGCUAGCAAGUCGCCUCCCUUACGGAAGAUACAGUCAGCUCUGUGAAGAAUUGGGAUUUCAUUACAACUCCGCACAAAGCAUAUUGGUCAAACAUCAACGGGACUCGACGGCUGCUUUCAAAGAAGUAUUACAGGAAUGGAAGGACAAAGGUGGAUUUAUGGUAGAUCUUGAUACAGCUCUGAAGAACUCAGACCUUGGAGGACUUAUACAUGUCUAUAAGAAAUAGACAUGUCAUUUUACAUUUCAUGUCGAAGCGUCGUUGUGUACCACUUCUGACUCUCUCCCUGUAAUCAGAAUGUUAUGUGUUUGAACCUCAAGCGAGUUUGAAACUAAGAUUUGAGCCACACCUGCUAACUCGAGCCCUAACUCUUGUACUAUUUCUUUAAGAACAAAGAAAAACAAGACCGAAACAAAUAUAUGUAUGUCUUUGAUAUCUCCCAGCCCUCCCCCUUAUUUUUAUUGAGUCUUUUUGUUCAGAGUUUUCCAAUGAAUAUAAUCAAAUAUCGGAAAUUUUAUUAUUUGUUUUUUAUUUGAUUUGAUUUGAUUUAUUUAUUUCCGUUUCCCAAUUAUACAUGAUAUGAUUAAC
rnacentral:misc_RNA from 1 species